rnacentral:lncRNA from 1 species
AGCGAAGGAACAUCCAAGUACACCUAACAUUUCUUCUUCCUUUGGCUUUUGCUGACCUUGUAGUUGGGAUUAAGAAAAUCUGGGCCCGGCAUGGUCACUCAGCUCCUGUAAUCCCAGGGUUUGGGAAGAGAAAGUAGGACUAGCAUCUCAAGGACAACCUGGGCUACAUAGGGAGUUUGAGACUAGCUUGAGCUAUAUGAGAUCCUGCCUCAAAACAGCAACAAAAAGCUGGGGUGGUGGUACACACCUGUAAUCCUGGAAUUUGGGGAGUAGAGGAUUAUCUCCUUCUCAGUUUUGAUGUGAACUGCUCUCCUCCGACACUGUACCAAUCAAAGAUGAUACCCGGCCCUCAUCUUUUACUCAGAGCAAAAUGGAAUGUUACUAAGAGACCCGUGUAAAGCUUCAACUGCGAUCCCGGUAUGAGGGAUGAAGGAAGCAGAGACAGGAGACUCCCCGGCUCAUUGGAGUAUCUAAAAUCUGAAAAACUGUACCCUUCACGGUGCCUGUCAGCGUUGGGCAAAAGGCUGAGAAGGAAGGGCUGGCUGUACGUCUUGGGAUGGGGGUCCAAACCCCUUUCAGCCACUGUCUGCAGUGUCCGCAGCCUCCACCCCUGGUCUGCUUCCUCCGAACCACUCCGGGGUGGUUUGGCAAGAAUAUCGUCUGAGAAUACUGACCUGGUGUAUUUGUUCUGUUAUAACUAAAUACCUGAGACUGAAUAAUCUAUAAUAAAAAGUAAUUUUUCAAAGUUCUGGAGGUUGGGAAGUCAAGAUGAAGGCCCGUUCUUUAUCUUCCUGCUGAAUCGUUACUCAUCACAUGGCGGACCUGCCAGGGGUACAAAAAGAGAAUCAGUUCCCUGCAUCCCUCAUCUGAGAGCCCCACUCUCUUGGCUGACUUGAUACCUGCUGGUGGCCCCAUCUCUGGAUAAGGUCAGACUAGCAAUUAAGUUCCAGCAUAUGAAUUUGGGGAAACGUGAUCUGACCACAGUGAGGACCUAAAGGAUCUUCGUACACCCUCUAAACAGCAUCUUCUGUGAGCUCCUGCAGCCACUGUAAAAAGCUAUCAGGGCAGGUGUAACAGCUCAGCAGAUAAAAGCGUUUGCUGUAGCUCAAGCCUAGUGACUGGAUUCUAUCCCUGGGACCCACAUGGUGGAAGGAGAGAACAAUCUCCAAAAAGUUGCCUUUUGACCUUCGUGUGGGUCCUGUGGUACACACGCACUCAUGCCCACAAACACGAAUGGCAGGUUCAAAUUAAUUUCAAACUCUAUAAAUUGUGAGGUCCCAUGGCACUUCAAGCCUCUCUAAAGAGCACAACGUGAUUUUGGAAAAGAAAUUAUGCCUUAAAUUGCCCAUAAAACAGAGAACUGGGAGCUGACAUUUGUCAAAGGAUUACUAU